UUUCCGUAGGUGAACCUGCGGAAGGAUCAUUCAUUAUAAGUGUUUUAUGGCACUUUUUAAAUCCAUAUCCACCUUGUGUGCAAUGUCAGGGUUGAUUUUUCUCUCGAGAGGAUCAGCCCCAAACAUCAACUAUAUCUCAACUCUUUGUCUGAAAAAUAUUAUGAAUAAAACAAUUCAAAAUACAACUUUCAACAACGGAUCUCUUGGCUCUC
rnacentral:misc_RNA from 1 species